UAAGACCAGAUUGCACAACAUGAACAUACAUAACACUUACAAAUCAACUGUGUUGGAUGGUGUCCCCUCCUUCUCCUUUCUCAGGGAUGGAUAUUUAUGUUACACAAUAACUACAAUGAAGACACACCCUUAACCGCAGCCUUACUCUGUAAAUAUAUUUGCACUCAGAAGUGUUUUGUUGGGUUCUUUCACACACUGGGGAAAAAAAAAGCAGACAAUACAAAAACCAAACCAGUACUGGAAUGUAGUACCAGACUCUUCUAUUGUUUGUAUUCCUGGCUAUACAUCGACACUGGGGAGCCUCCAAGCAGGAUCUUUCUUGAAACUGCUCUCUGCUUUUGACAGCAAUCCACCUUGUCACGCCGCGCUGGAGAGGCUCCCAAACUGACUUCCUAUUCCAAAAAUCACCAUGAAAUUGAUAAACGACUACUUAUUUUUGCUUGUUUUAUGCCAGAUAAAAUUCUGAGCAAAUAAUUCUAAACAAGAUGCCUUACGUAAAUAACCUAAAUCACGAGGAAACGCGUUUACACUGGGUAACACUGUAUUACAAAGUGGCACGGAAUCUCAGAGGCAUUCUUUUUUCUCCAAGUACUUAAGAUCUCUGCACUGCAGAGCAGCAGGGACCAGCAGAACACAAAACCAAACCACGCUGACUUGAAUGAUUUCCUUUAUCCUUUUCUUAAAAAUUACUUGUUUUAAACAAGCUACAGGAAUACAGUAACAACCAAUGCCCAUCACUGGUUUAUCAAGGUACUUACCUACUGUACAGUUGUGUCUUAGAAAGAUAAAUUGCUUAAGACAGCCUCUGUUUCCUGUUGUAUCGCAAUCAUGGUCACUGAUAAAAGGAAAAUUACAAGGUAUUCUGACUAGAAAAAUAAAAUAUGCCUUUAAAAGUGUUGCAAAAACAACAAAAAAGGCAUUUUAACUCUCCUUAAAGUUUCUUAAAAACACACAUAUCAGUGUAAAGAAAGGCUCUGUUAUUUCUGAAUAUCUGCUUAAAAGACAAAGAGAAUCUUAGCUGUUUGGGCAUAAGACAGAGCACAAGGAAGUUGACCUUCAUCGUGUUUUGUAUGAUAGGAAGUACAGCAAAAAAACCAGAGCACUGUGAUGUCCUAGAGACACGGCUUUGUUUUGGCUGGUUCUGAUGGUGCAUUCUAUAAAUCAGUCUUUUUUAUUCUGGAAUUUUGGGUGUUUUCUUGUUUUUACUGUAUAUUCUAAAAUGCAGGUGAGUGUAGCACGAUGAAACAAAACUCUCUAUGCCAAACAUGCCAUUUGAUAUCAAGUUAAUGCUUACCCAUUCCAAAUGAGCGCAUAUCUUACUUGCUAGCUUGCGUCAAUCCAAUUCUGCGAGUUUUUUUUGUACUGUAUAUUAACUGUGAGAGGCUAAUAUAGAUUCCUGAAUAGCUUCAUGGGUACUUCCAUAAUAUAUAUGUUAUUCCUAAUACUAUAAUUGUAUGCAUAAAUUUACAGACAGUUCAAAGUGCAGAUAUUUCAGUAUUUUCUCAUGUUCAUUUGCCUCAGAUUUCACCUCCAGAAAAUCAUAAUUUCCCCUUCUGAAUUGGAAGUCAUGCUAGACACAGUUCUACUACUGCAUUUACAGACAAUGAAGGAACAGGGUUCUUUUGCAAAACAAGCAUUGCUGGAUGUCUGGGAUGAGCUGCCUAACCACUGUACAUAGUAGGGGAAAGUCUGAUUGUUUUACCUCGAGAGAUCUCUGUUUUUAAAUCUCAGCCACUGAGAUUUUAAAAAUGCAAAAACUUUAUACUAUUCAGAUGUGCGACCUGAUCUGGUCUUAUCACCCAGCAGCUGGCACUGCACACUCAGGAAGUAACUGCUGUGGGAAGGUGUGAAUUUUUUCCUACUCCUCAUUGCAAUCCCUGUGCAAUCUGUUGAGGUGCAUCCUCACAAACUAUUAAAUUGCCUUAAUUAUUAUUAUUUUUUUCUUUUAAUUUCAGAACCCAGGAACAGGUUUAUUAAUAUUAGCAUUGCAGUACGUGACAACAGACAGAAAUGAAAGGAGUAUUAAUGUCUUCCAGAUGUCUAAGAGAUUGCUUUUUGCUAAUAUAAGACUUGCCCUUAGAAACUCAUUCACCCCUUCCAUUAACCCUAUCCUGUGCCCAGGAUUCCUUUAUCAUCCUCCUUCUCAUAAAGCAGUCCUGGUAAACCACAGGCAGCUAGAUUUUAUUGUGAGAACUCUUUAUAUCUGAAAAUUACUUGUUCCUUGCUUUUGUAAUACAUGCAUAGCAUUUGCUUACAUAACUGCAGAAGUACAUAUUUAUAACCAAGCAUCGGAAGCCUACGUUUGGUAACACCUAAUUCCCAUAUGCAUCCUACCUUGAGUAUUGCAUUAAUAUUUGCCAUAACUUUUAGUUCUGUGAACAUGAGUACACCCUUAAAACCUCAUUACCUUCUUCCCAGAAGUUCAGCGCUUUUCUUGUUUCAUGCAGCCAGACAGGAAAAGGCUGUCUGAGGACCUUACCUGUUUCAAGGUAUUCACAUCCAAACUAGUUUUCCUUCCCAAGAGUUCUAGGAUUUGUACUGUGUGAAAUGCAUUAUUGUUUUGGAGAAUCCAAUUUAUAAAGAAAAAGAAAAAUGAACUCUGCAUACUAAAGCUUGCCUUUCCAUUGCCAUUUGAUUUACUUAUUUCACGAGGUGAUGCCUACAAACUGACUUUCAGGUGCUGUUUUACUCCCUCACACCAUGUGUUCACGCACUGGGUGCUCACACAUGGUCUGUACUAGUGAACUAUAUGAUGAACAUCUAUGUUUUCAACAUUUUGGAAUAUAAUUCUCUCUUUGCUAUGAGAGUGGAGAGGUGCUGGAACAGCUGCCCAGAGAGGCUGUGGAUGCCCGUGGAGAUGUUCAGAUCCAGGCUGGAUGGGGCCCUGGGCAGCCUAGUCUAGUAUUAAAUAUGGAGGUUGGUGGCCUUGCAUGCAGCAGAGCGGCUGGAGCUUGAUGAUCCUUGAGGUCCCUUACAACCCAAGACAUUCUAUGGUUCUAUGGUUCUAUAAAGCUCUAGCCUAAGGCAGUAGAAAAUAACAAAGCUGUACCUGUUUAGCCCAUAAACCAGAAUACAGAAUGCAAAAACCCAUCCACUAGUAUAUGAUUUUUUUUUUUUGUAUGGAUUUUUUAAGUGUAUGCACUUAAGUGUAUAGUAUGUGUGUGUACACCUACACAGCAGUGUGUAUGCACUACACACAGAAUAAUGAAGGGAUGUCUACAGAGCAAAAAUGGGUAUCCAUUUCAUUCUAACUAGCGAUGGGUCUGAACCAAAAUCCUAGAUCCAAACACCACUGCCUUUGGAAAGUUUGAAUCUGGAUUGGGUUGGGUUUGUCUUGAGAUUUGUGGUUUAGUUUCACCUCUGGUUACAGCUGUUGUUCCUUACAUGUAUGCGCAUUGUGGGGGACUCGUGUGCAUGUGCACAUGUGCUUAUUCAUGUGUGCCUGACUCUGUGGGUGACAAUGUGCGUGCCAGUAAGUCUGCACAUGUUUACAUAUGUACUUUCAGAUCUGGGGAACUGUAAUGAUACUGGUGUCAUCUUCUUCUCCUGGACGGUUCUGUCUACAGCACAUGAAUACUUCCGUGGGUCACUUUCAACUCUAUAAAUCACUACAUUGAAGUAUUACAGUUGUACAGUUAUAUAUUUCAUCUAUACUUGCUCUGCUGUAACUUUUUAUGUAUUUUGUACUGCAUAGAUUAUAUAUUGUGAUAAUGUCUAUACAACAACAGUAAAAAAAAAAAAAGGAAAAAGGAA